UGGGGAAUAUUGCACAAUGGGCGAAAGCCUGAUGCAGCAACGCCGCGUGAGGGACGACGGCCUUCGGGUUGUAAACCUCUUUUAGCAAGGAAGAAGCGAAAGUGACGGUACUUGCAGAAAAAGCGACCGGCUAACUACGUGCCAGCAGCCGCGGUAAUACGUAGGGCGCAAGCGUUAUCCGGAAUUAUUGGGCGUAAAGAGCUCGUAGGCGGUUUGUCGCGUCUGCUGUGAAAACCCGAGGCUCAACCUCGGGCCUGCAGUGGGUACGGGCAGACUAGAGUGCGGUAGGGGAGAUUGGAACUCCUGGUGUAGCGGUGGAAUGCGCAGAUAUCAGGAAGAACACCGAUGGCGAAGGCAGAUCUCUGGGCCGUAACUGACGCUGAGGAGCGAAAGGGUGGGGAGCAAACAGGCUUAGAUACCCUGGUAGUCCACCCGUAAACGUUGGGAACUAGUUGUGGGGUCCAUUCCACGGAUUCCGUGACGCAGCUAACGCAUUAAGUUCCCCGCCUGGGGAGUACGGCCGCAAGGCUAAAACUCAAAUGAAUUGACGGGGUCAUAGCUGUUUCCU
rnacentral:rRNA from 1 species